CAAAACACUUUUUAUCAUCAAAAAAUAAGCAACCAUGAGCGAAACACUUACUCUCCGCGGAACCCUUGUUGGCCACAAUGACUGGGUAACCUCCAUUGCCACCACCCCCGAGGACCCC
rnacentral:ribozyme from 1 species